GAUGAACGCUAGCGGCAGGCUUAAUACAUGCAAGUCAAGGGGGUAGCAAUACAACCGGCGCACGGGUGAGUAACGCGUACACAACAUACCAUAUACUGGGGUAUAGCUUUGGGAAACUGAAGGUAAUCCCCCAUAACAUUGCGAGAGGGCAUCUGAUUGCAAUUAAAGUUUCGGCGGUAUAUGAUUGGUGUGCGUUUGAUUAGCUAGUUGGUAGGGUAACGGCCUACCAAGGCGACGAUCAAUAGCUGGCGUGAGAGCGCGACCAGCCACACUGGAACUGAGACACGGUCCAGACUCCUACGGGAGGCAGCAGUAGGGAAUAUUGGACAAUGGGCGCAAGCCUGAUCCAGCCAUGCCGCGUGAUAGAUGAAGGCCCUCUGGGUUGUAAAUAUCUUUUAUCUGGGAAGAAACUCCUCUAUUCUUAGAGGCCUGACGGUACCAGAGGAAUAAGCACCGGCUAACUCCGUGCCAGCAGCCGCGGUAAAACGU
rnacentral:rRNA from 1 species